GGUAAACAACCACUGUCCCAGACUAACAGACUGUGUAGAGAGGUAAACAACCACUGUCCCAGACUAACAGACUGUGUAGAGAGGUAAACAACCACUGUCCCAGACUGUGUAGAGAGGUAAACAACCACUGUCCCAGACUAACAGACUGUGUAGAGAGGUAAACAACCACUGUCCCAGACUAACAGACUGUGUAGAGAGGUAAACAACCACUGUCCCAGACUAACAGACUGUGUAGAGAGGUAAACAACCACUGUCCCAGACUAACAGACUGUGUAGAGAGGUAAACAACCACUGCUCAGGGCUAUCAGACUGUGUAGAGAGGUAAACAACCACUGUCCCAGACUGUGUAGAGAGGUAAAC